UACGGAGGAUCCAAGCGUUAUCCGGAUUUAUUGGGUUUAAAGGGUGCGUAGGCGGCUAUUUAAGUCAGGGGUGAAAGACGGUGGCUCAACCAUCGCAGUGCCUUUGAUACUGAAUAGCUUGAAUACACUAGAGGUAGGCGGAAUGUGACAAGUAGCGGUGAAAUGCAUAGAUAUGUCACAGAACACCAAUUGCGAAGGCAGCUUACUAUGGUGUCAUUGACGCUGAGGCACGAAAGCGUGGGGAUCAAACAGG
rnacentral:rRNA from 1 species